rnacentral:ncRNA from 1 species
GCAGAAGACUGAUUUUCGGUCCAUUCCGCAGCGAUGCGGAAAAGAAAAAUCGGGUGAAUUCGAGGAAACCUAAUCUCCGACGUUAUGUUGGAGCAGGGCAAUCUCGAGCCAAUCCUUCGCCGGGAGGCUACGGAUUGCAAGCAAGCUAAUUUUAGAAGGCUUGCCUGCCGUAGCUUUAGCGGAGGCAGGUGUAGAGACUAGCAGGUGAGUUCCAACAAUAAUCCUGCGCCAGCGCCCGACCGCUCCCUUCGCGAAGGGAGGGGAUGAAAUAGUCCGAUCCUUGGGGAAACUCAAGC